UACGGAGGGUGCGAGCGUUGUUCGGAAUUAUUGGGCGUAAAGCGCGUGUAGGCGGCUUAUUAAGUCUGAUGUGAAAGCCCUGGGCUCAACCCGGGAAGUGCAUUGGAAACUGGUAGACUUGAGUACGGGAGAGGGCAGUGGAAUUCCCAGUGUAGGAGUGAAAUCCGUAGAUAUUGGGAGGAACACCGGUGGCGAAGGCGGCUGCCUGGACCGAUACUGACGCUGAGACGCGAAAGCGUGGGGAGCAAACAGG
rnacentral:rRNA from 1 species